UAGGGAAUCUUCGGCAAUGGACGAAAGCCUGACCGAGCAACGCCGCGUGAGUGAAGAAGGUUUUCGGAUCGUAAAACUCUGUUGUUAGAGAAGAACAAGGACGUUAGUAACUGAACGUCCCCUGACGGUAUCUAACCAGAAAGCCACGGCUAACUACGUGCCAGCAGCCGCGGUAAUACGUAGGUGGCAAGCGUUGUCCGGAUUUAUUGGGCGUAAAGCGAGCGCAGGCGGUUUCUUAAGUCUGAUGUGAAAGCCCCCGGCUCAACCGGGGAGGGUCAUUGGAAACUGGGAGACUUGAGUGCAGAAGAGGAGAGUGGAAUUCCAGAUGUAGCGGUGAAAUGCGUAGAUAUAUGGAGGAACACCAGUGGCGAAGGCGGCUCUCUGGUCUGUAACUGACGCUGAGGCUCGAAAGCGUGGGGAGCAAACAGG
rnacentral:rRNA from 1 species